AUUGAACGCUAGCGGGAUGCUUAACACAUGCAAGUCGAACGGCAGCGCGGACUUCGGUCUGGCGGCGAGUGGCGAACGGGCGAGUAAUGUAUCGGAACGUGCCCAGUAGCGGGGGAUAACUACGCGAAAGCGUAGCAAAUACCGCAUAAGCCCUACGGGGGAACGCAGGGGAUCGUAAGACCUUGCACUAUUGGAGCGGCCGAUAUCGGAUUAGCUAGUUGGUGAGGUAACGGCUCACCAAGGCGACGAUCCGUAGCUGGUUUGAGAGGACGACCAGCCACACUGGGACUGAGACACGGCCCAGACUCCUACGGGAGGCAGCAGUGGGGAAUUUUGGACAAUGGGGGCAACCCUGAUCCAGCCAUCCCGCGUGUGUGAUGAAGGCCUUCGGGUUGUAAAGCACUUUUGUCAGGAAAGAAACGUCGCGGGCUAAUACCCCGUUGAACUGACGGUACCUGCAGAAUAAGCACCGGCUAACUACGUG
rnacentral:rRNA from 1 species